GACGAACGCUGGCGGCGUGCUUAACACAUGCAAGUCGAGCGGUAAGGCCCUUUCGGGGGUACACGAGCGGCGAACGGGUGAGUAACACGUGGGUGACCUGCCCUCAGCUCUGGGAUAAGCCUGGGAAACUGGGUCUAAUACUGGAUAUGACUCCACGGUGCAUGUCGCGGGGUGGAAAGCCUUGUGCGGCUGAGGAUGGGCCCGCGGCCUAUCAGCUUGUUGGUGGGGUGANGGCCUACCAAGGCGACGACGGGUAGCCGGCCUGAGAGGGCGACCGGCCACACUGGGACUGAGACACGGCCCAGACUCCUACGGGAGGCAGCAGUGGGGAAUCUUGCGCAAUGGGCGAAAGCCUGACGCAGCGACGCCGCGUGAGGGAUGACGGCCUGG
rnacentral:rRNA from 1 species